UACGGAGGGAGCUAGCGUUAUUCGGAAUUACUGGGCGUAAAGCGCGCGUAGGCGGCUUUGUAAGUUAGAGGUGAAAGCCCGGAGCUCAGCUCCGGAAUUGCCUUUAAGACUGCAUCGCUAGAAUCAUGGAGAGGUGAGUGGAAUUCCGAGUGUAGAGGUGAAAUUCGUAGAUAUUCGGAAGAACACCAGUGGCGAAGGCGACUCACUGGACAUGUAUUGACGCUGAGGUGCGAAAGCGUGGGGAGCAAACAGG
rnacentral:rRNA from 1 species